rnacentral:rRNA from 1 species
GAUGAACGCUAGCGAUAGGCUUAACACAUGCAAGUCGAGGGGCAGCAUGGUCUUAGCUUGCUAAGACUGAUGGCGACCGGCGCACGGGUGCGUAACGCGUAUGCAACUUGCCUCACAGAGGGGGAUAACCCGUCGAAAGACGGACUAAUACCGCGUACACUCCAUCUUGGGCAUCCAAGGUAGAGGAAAUGAAAUUCGCUGUGAGAUAGGCAUGCGUCCCAUUAGCUAGUUGGUGAGGUAACGGCUCACCAAGGCGACGAUGGGUAGGGGAACUGAGAGGUUGAACCCCCACACUGGUACUGAGACACGGACCAGACUACUACGGGAGGCAGCAGUGAGGAAUAUUGGUCAAUGGGCGAGAGCCUGAACCAGCCAAGUCGCGUGAAGGAUGACUGUCUUAUGGAUUGUAAACUUCUUUUAUACGGGAAUAACAAGAGUCACGUGUGGCUCCCUGCAUGUACCGUAUGAAUAAGCAUCGGCUAACUCCGUG